GGGUGGAGGUUUUUCAAAAGGUCCUCAAGAAACAGAACACAAAGAAGGAGAAACAAUAUACGUGACUUUAUUGAUUUUGUGUGGAACUUUAAUAUUGUUUUUGAUCGGCUGUCGCAAAAGAACAUAAAGAAGGAGAAGCAACAAUUUACAAACAAGUCAUUUGUUUCUUUGAUUACGCAUAAGAUCACUGGUGGAAUCGGUUUAGAACCGAACCUCGUGUACAUGUUUUCCGCUGCAUGUCUACAAACAAUUCUGAUAACACCAAAUUCUCGCUUAAGUCCAUCCUUGAAAAUGCUAAACUUGAUAAUUCUAACUUCAUGGAUUGGUACCGCAACCUGAAAAUUGUUCUCAGGGCGGAGAAAAAGGCUUAUGUCCUUGAAGGACCAAUUCCCGAAGCACCUGCUGCUAAUAUGGGUGCAGCCCGUAGGACAUGGGAAAAACAUGUUGAUGAUUCCCAAGAUGUGACAUGUCUUAUGCUUGCUAUGAUGAUUCCAGAACUUCAGAAGAAUCUGGAAAACUUGGGA
rnacentral:lncRNA from 1 species